AUACGGAGGGUGCAAGCGUUAUUCGGAAUCACUGGGCGUAAAGGACGCGUAGGCGGGUUGGCAAGUCAGAUGUGAAAUCCUACAGCUUAACUGUAGAACUGCAUUUGAAACUGCUAACCUAGAGUAUGGGAGGGGGAGAUGGAAUUAGUGGUGUAGGGGUAAAAUCCGAAGAUAUCACUAGGAAUACCGAAAGCGAAGGCGAUCUCCUGGAACAUAACUGACGCUAAGGCGUGAAAGCGUGGGGAGCAAACAGGAUUAGAAACCCAAGUAGUCC
rnacentral:rRNA from 1 species